UACGUAGGGUCCGAGCGUUGUCCGGAAUUACUGGGCGUAAAGAGCUCGUAGGUGGUUUGUCGCGUUGUUCGUGAAAACUCACAGCUUAACUGUGGGCGUGCGGGCGAUACGGGCAGACUUGAGUACUGCAGGGGAGACUGGAAUUCCUGGUGUAGCGGUGAAAUGCGCAGAUAUCAGGAGGAACACCGGUGGCGAAGGCGGUUCUCUGGGCAUUACCUGACGCUGAGGAGCGAAAGUGUGGGGAGCGAACAGG
rnacentral:rRNA from 1 species